GUCUACAGCCAUACCACCCUGAACGUGCCUGAUCUCAUCUGAUCUCAGAAGCUAAGCAGGGUCGGGCCUUGUUAGUACUUGGAAGGAAGAAUCAUGUCUUGCUACCUAAACU
ensembl:rRNA 5S_rRNA 5S ribosomal RNA